rnacentral:rRNA from 1 species
GAUGAACGCUGGCGGCGUGCUUAACACAUGCAAGUCGAACGAAGCACUUAAGAUUGAUUCUUCGGAUGACGUCUUUUGUGACUUAGCGGCGGACGGGUGAGUAACGCGUGGGUAACCUGCCUCACACAGGGGGAUAACAGUUAGAAAUGACUGCUAAUACCGCAUAACCCGAUAGGAUCGCAUGAUCCAGACGGAAAAGAUUUAUCGGUGUGAGAUGGACCCGCGUCUGAUUAGCUAGUUGGUGAGGUAACGGCCCACCAAGGCGACGAUCAGUAGCCGGCCUGAGAGGGUGAACGGCCACAUUGGGACUGAGACACGGCCCAAACUCCUACGGGAGGCAGCAGUGGGGAAUAUUGCACAAUGGGGGAAACCCUGAUGCAGCGACGCCGCGUGAGUGAAGAAGUAUUUCGGUAUGUAAAGCUCUAUCAGCAGGGAAGAAAAUGACGGUACCUGACUAAGAAGCCCCGGCUAACUACGUG